UACAGAGGGGGCAAGCGUUAUUCGGAAUUAUUGGGCGUAAAGGGCGCGUAGGCGGCUUUGCCAGUGACGGGUGAAAUCCCUCGGCUUAACCGAGGAACUGCCUGUCAAACUGCAUGGCUUGAAUCCGGGAGAGGGACGUGGAAUUCCAGGUGUAGCGGUGAAAUGCGUAGAUAUCUGGAGGAACACCGGUGGCGAAGGCGACGUCCUGGACCGGCAUUGACGCUGAGGCGCGAAAGCCAGGGGAGCAAAGCGGGAUUAAGAUGACCC
rnacentral:rRNA from 1 species